AACGCGAAGAACCUUACCUGGGUUAAAUCCACCGGUAGCCUACAGAGAUGUGGGCUUGCCCUUCGGGGAGCCGGUGAGACGGUGCUGCAUGGCUGUCGUCAGCUCGUGUCGUGAGAUGUUGGGUUAAGUCCCGCAACGAGCGCAACCCUCGUCUUCAGUUGCUAGCGGUUAGGCCGAGCACUCUGGAGAGACUGCCGACGUUAAGUCGGAGGAAGGUGGGGAUGACGUCAAGUCCUCAUGGCCCUUAUGCCCAGGGCUACACACGUGCUACAAUGGCCGGUACAAAGGGUUGCAAAGCCGCGAGGCCAAGCCAAUCCCAAAAAACCGGUCUCAGUUCGGAUUGAAGUCUGCAACUCGACUUCAUGAAGGCGGAAUCGCUAGUAAUCCCGGAUCAGCACGCCGGGGUGAAUACGUUCCCGGGCCUUGUACACACCGCUACAGU
rnacentral:rRNA from 1 species